rnacentral:rRNA from 1 species
AUUGAACGCUGGCGGCAGGCUUAACACAUGCAAGUCGAGCGGGGAGAUGUAGCUUGCUACAUUUCCUAGCGGCGGACGGGUGAGUAAUGCUUAGGAAUCUGCCUAUUAGUGGGGGACAACAUUCCGAAAGGAAUGCUAAUACCGCAUACGCCCUACGGGGGAAAGCAGGGGAUCUUCGGACCUUGCGCUAAUAGAUGAGCCUAAGUCAGAUUAGCUAGUUGGUGGGGUAAAGGCCUACCAAGGCGACGAUCUGUAGCGGGUCUGAGAGGAUGAUCCGCCACACUGGGACUGAGACACGGCCCAGACUCCUACGGGAGGCAGCAGUGGGGAAUAUUGGACAAUGGGCGAAAGCCUGAUCCAGCCAUGCCGCGUGUGAAGAAGGCCUUUUGGUUGUAAAGCACUUUAAGCGAGGAGGAGGCUACUUAGAUUAAUACUCUAGGAUAGUGGACGUUACUCGCAGAAUAAGCACCGGCUAACUCUGUGCCAGCAGCCGCCGCCGUAA